ensembl:lncRNA
AAUUGAAUAAAUCUCUAGGAGGAGUUCGUUAAAAUACAAGGCAUGCAAAUGACAAAAAUGAUGCAAAAUUUGCUCAUAAAAUUAAAAAUAACCGACUUCCUGUUGGGUUUCGGAUAUUGCUCCAAGAGUCUUUUUUGUAGGUACUGAUGCUUUACAUAUGUGUGCCAAUUUUCGUGCAUGUACGUGAAACACAGCUCGAGGGCUGUUGAUUUUUUUACGAUAGGUGGCGCUGUCGAGCCAUUUUGCCACACCCUCUUCUGAAACCUAUAUCAGACGUAAAUUUUCACCAGGUCUGACGCGUGUGCAAAGUUUCAGGACUUUUCGAGCAUGUUUAGGCCCUCAAAAAUGCGAUUCAUUUUGGAGAAGAAGAAGAAGAAGAAGAAGAAGAAGAAUAAUAAUAAUAAUAAUAAACAAAGCAGAUACAAGAGGGUCCUCACACCAUCGGUGCUCGGGCCCUAAUUAAAGCUGCAAGCAGCGAUGAACGGGCCCUCGCACCCGGGCUCACCACCACCGGUUGGCUUUUGUAAAAACAGCGAACGGCGAGAAAUAUGCGUUUAAUGUGGUAAAUAUAAGAGGAAUAUGUCAAAGUCAUUUAUAUGUGCCAAUCUUCCUGCUGCCAGCUGGUGGCGCUAUGAUUAUAACUGGAUUUUGUCAUGUAGAUUUCUUCAGUCCAGCACUUUUAUCAAGCAUAUGAAAUUUAGUGCAGAUUGAACAUAUAAUGUUUGAGUUAGUAUAAAGCAUGUUGUGGCCUAUUGCCAACAGGUGGCGCCAUGAUUAUAACUGAACAUUGGCCUUUAGAUAUCUUCAGGCCAUGACUCUUAUCAAAUAUUUGAAGUUUGGUGCAGAUUGGACAUUGCAUGUUUAAGUUAGUGUAAAACAAGCAAUUUUCUGUUGUCAGCAGGUGGCGCUAUGACUAUAGUGGAAUAAUGACCUUCAUAUGUGUUCAGGCCAAGACUCUUUUCGAACAUGUGAAGUUUGAGAAAGAUCGGACAUCUUAUGCCUGAGUUACAACAACUUCAAUUCCCAUGGAAGACAUCGAACUUUGUCACGGCUCCAUGGCCACACCCUUUAAUGAAACCUCAAGAUGUUCACAAUUUAACAUCGCAAAGGCCUUUAGAUUAGACUGACCCAAAAAAAAUAUAAAAUGUCAUAAAAUUUCUAGGAGUAGUUUGUUACGGCGUAAAACAUGUCACUUCCUGUUGCCAGCAGGUGGCGCUAUAGCGAUAUCUGAAUAUUGGCAUGUAGAUAUAUUCAGGUCAGGAGUCUUCUCAAACAUGUGAAGUUUGGGGCAGAUUGGACAUUGUAUGUCUGAGUUAUAGCAACUUCCUUUCUCAUGGCGAAACAUCGAAAUUUGUAAGGCCGCCACAGACACGCCCUUAAACGAAACCUCAAGAUCUUCGCAAUUUAACAUCGCAAAGGCCUUUAGAUUACACUGACAAAGUUUGGUGUUGAUCUGAAUAAAUCUCUAGGAGGAGUUCGUUAAAGUACAACCCCUGAAAAUGGCAAAAAAACGAAACAAAUUUUGAAGAGAAAAUUCAAAAUAACUGACUUCCUGUUGGGAUUCGAAUUUCGUACAAAAGAGACUUUUUUGUAGGUAUUGGUGUGUUACAUGUGUGUACCGGUUUUUGUACAUGUACGUGAAACGUAGCUCGAGGCGCACUCCGUUGAAAAUGUAUAGGUGGCGCUAUCGAGGCAUUUUUCCACACCC